rnacentral:rRNA from 1 species
UACAGAAGCCUCAAGCGUUGUUCGGAAUUACUGGGCGUAAAGGGUCUGUAGGCGGUUUUGUAAGUCAGUGGUGAAAGCCCAUCGCUCAACGGUGGAACGGCCAUUGAUACUGCAAGACUUGAAUUAUUGGGAAGCAACUAGAAUAUGUAGUGUAGCGGUGAAAUGCUUAGAGAUUACAUGGAAUACCAAUUGCGAAGGCAGGUUGCUACCAAUACAUUGACGCUGAUGGACGAAAGCGUGGGGA